rnacentral:rRNA from 1 species
CCUACGGGAGGCAGCAGUGAGGAAUAUUGGUCAAUGGACGAGAGUCUGAACCAGCCAAGUAGCGUGAAGGAUGACUGCCCUAUGGGUUGUAAACUUCUUUUAUAAAGGAAUAAAACGAGGCACGUGUGCCUUUUUGCAUGUACUUUAUGAAUAAGGAUCGGCUAACUCCGUGCCAGCAGCCGCGGUAAUACGGAGGAUCCGAGCGUUAUCCGGAUUUAUUGGGUUUAAAGGGAGCGUAGAUGGGUUGUUAAGUCAGUUGUGAAAGUUUGCGGCUCAACCGUAAAAUUGCAAUUGAUACUGGCAGUCGUGAGUACAGUUGAGGUAGGCGGAAUUCGUGGUGUAGCGGUGAAAUGCUUAGAUAUCACGAAGAACCCCGAUUGCGAAGGCAGCUUACUAAACUGUGACUGACAUUGAUGCUCGAAAGUGUGGGUAUCAAACAGGAUUAGAUACCCUAGUAGCC